CAGCAAGUUUUCUUCACCCUGCUGCAGUCUGAUCAACUGCAGCAAGGUUUCUUCACCAUCUGCGUGAACUUCGAGCAGCGCACACGGAUUACAGAUAAGCGUUCCUUUCCACACAAGGAGCCGAAAGGAAACUACUUUUGAAUUUUCUGUUUAUACCAUAAGGGACGUUUGCAUUUAUUUAUAGUUCAACAUUUUCUUUAAUACCUAAAAGGACUUUUUCUUACUUUAACAAACUCACUGAACUGCACUGAUUGAAUUGCACUUGCUCUUGAAGGGUGAUUGAUUGAUACUGGGAAAGUGUGUAUUUGUCAUUGUUACAAUUAUACUGCCUUACAUACACCACAUCCAUACAUCAUACAUUGCCACACUUUACUAAUAACUACACACAUUUAUUUUCUUUCAUUUACUAAACUAAGGGAAACUGUACAAAAUAAAGUGCUUAUAGUUGCCAUA